rnacentral:piRNA from 1 species
AGCAGGUGAUGUUUCCUUCUGGAUAUGC